rnacentral:rRNA from 1 species
UACGUAGGGUCCGAGCGUUGUCCGGAAUUACUGGGCGUAAAGCGCGUGUAGGCGGAUGGGCAAGUCUGCUGUGAAAGCUCCUGGCUUAACCGGGAGUGGUCGGUGGAAACUGCCAAUCUGGAGGACGGUAGAGGUAGGUAGAAUUCCCGGUGUAGUGGUGAAAUGCGUAGAGAUCGGGAGGAAUACCUGUGGCGAAGGCGGCCUACUGGGCCGGACCUGACGCUGAGACGCGAAGGCGUGGGGAGCGAACGGG